rnacentral:rRNA from 1 species
UACGAAGGGGGCUAGCGUUGCUCGGAAUCACUGGGCGUAAAGGGCGCGUAGGCGGCCAUUUAAGUCGGGGGUGAAAGCCUGUGGCUCAACCACAGAAUUGCCUUCGAUACUGGAUGGCUUGAGACCGGAAGAGGUAAGUGGAACUGCGAGUGUAGAGGUGAAAUUCGUAGAUAUUCGCAAGAACACCAGUGGCGAAGGCGGCUUACUGGUCCGGAUCUGACGCUGAGGCGCGAAAGCGUGGGGAGCGAACAGG